ensembl:misc_RNA
UGAAACGGAGGAGACGUUACAGCAACGUGUCAGCUGAAAUGAUGGGCGUAGACGCACGUCAGCGGCGGAAAUGGUUUCUAUCAAAAUGAAAGUGUUUAGAGAUUUUCCUCAAGUUUCA